rnacentral:rRNA from 1 species
GAUGAACGCUAGCUACAGGCUUAACACAUGCAAGUCGAGGGGAAACGGCAUUGAGUGCUUGCACUCUUUGGACGUCGACCGGCGCACGGGUGAGUAACGCGUAUCCAACCUUCCCAUUACUGUGGGAUAACCUGCCGAAAGGCAGACUAAUACCGCAUAGUCUUCGAUGACGGCAUCAGAUUUGAAGUAAAGAUUUAUCGGUAAUGGAUGGGGAUGCGUCUGAUUAGCUUGUUGGCGGGGUAACGGCCCACCAAGGCUACGAUCAGUAGGGGUUCUGAGAGGAAGGUCCCCCACAUUGGAACUGAGACACGGUCCAAACUCCUACGGGAGGCAGCAGUGAGGAAUAUUGGUCAAUGGACGGAAGUCUGAACCAGCCAAGUAGCGUGCAGGAUGACGGCCCUAUGGGUUGUAAACUGCUUUUGUAUGGGGAUAAAGUUAGGGACGUGUCCCUAUUUGCNGGUACCAUACGAAUAAGGACCGGCUAAUUCCGUGCCAGCAGCCGCGGUAAUACGGAAGGUCCAGGCGUUAUCCGGAUUUAUUGGGUUUAAAGGGAGCGUAGGCUGGAGAUUAAGUGUGUUGUGAAAUGUAGACGCUCAACGUCUGAAUUGCAGCGCAUACUGGUUUCCUUGAGUACGCACAACGUUGGCGGAAUUCGUCGUGUAGCGGUGAAAUGCUUAGAUAUGACGAAGAACUCCGAUUGCGAAGGCAGCUGACGGGAGCGCAACUGACGCUUAAGCUCGAAGGUGCGGGUAUCAAACAGG